AUGUUACCUAAGAAGAAGCAAUUGUUGGGUGCUGAAAAAAGGAGGAAAAAGAAAGAAAGUGAUCUGAAAAUUCUACCACUGAAGGGUUCUUUGAAUAAGUUAUUUACAUCUUCAAGCAAUGUUGAUGUCAGUGAAGAACAAGGGCAAGAAACUCCUCCCGAGCAUGAAAAUUCAGAUGUUGAGGUGAAUGAAGAUGGUGCGAGUACAGGGGAGCAAAUAAAUUUUGAAGCUGAUGCUGACAGUACAAUGGAGGAGGAAAAUUUGCAACCUUCCGCUAAUGAUGAACAGGAAGAUUCCCUUUCAUUUAUUUUUUAUCCAAGAACAUGGGAAAUUCUUGACAAUGGCAAAAGGGAUAUUUUAAUUGAGAAGGGACCUAUUAGAGUACCGGGUCUGGAGUUCGAGAAGGACACCAUUGGUAGACACUUUCCAUAUGCUUUUUACUCCAGGAAGUUAAGUAAUGGUGAGUUUGUUGACAGAAAGUGGUUGGUUUACCACAAAGGUGCAAAAAAAGUAUAUUGUUUUUGUUGCAAGUUGUUCAAAUCAAAACUGAGCAAGUCUAUGCUAGCAUCUGAUGGAUUGAAUGACUGGAAGCGUUUGAGUGCGCGUCUCAAAGAUCAUGAGAACAGUGUUGAGCAUUUAACAAACAUGAAUACAUGGAAUGAAGUUAGGUUGAGACUAAGCAAAAAUCAGACAAUUGAUGAUGAUAUGCAAAGGGAGAUUGCAAAGGAGAAGGAGCGUUGGAGACAAGUUUUGGUAAGAAUAGUUUCUGCUGUGAAGUUUCUUGCAAAACACACUUUGGCUUUUCGUGGAUCAAAUGAGAAGUUGUAUCAAGAUAAUAAUGGUAAUUUUCUAGGCACGAUUGAAAUGAUUGCUGAAUUUGAUCCUGUUAUGCAAGAACACAUCCGGCGUAUUCAAAAUAGUGAAAUCCAUCAUCACUAUCUUGGUCAAAAAAUCUAG
rnacentral:rRNA from 1 species